AAUAGAUACCCGGGUAGUCCAUGCCGUAAACGUUGGGAACUAGAUGUGGGGACCAUUCCACGGUCUCCGUGUCGCAGCUAACGCAUUAAGUUCCCCGCCUGGGGAGUACGGCCGCAAGGCUAAAACUCAAAGGAAUUGACGGGGGCCCGCACAAGCGGCGGAGCAUGCGGAUUAAUUCGAUGCAACGCGAAGAACCUUACCAAGGCUUGACAUAGCCGAGAACGCUGCAGAAAUGUAGAACUCUUUGGACACUCGGUUACAGGUGGUGCAUGGUUGUCGUCAGCUCGUGUCGUGAGAUGUUGGGUUAAGUCCCGCAACGAGCGCAACCCUCGUCGUAUGUUGCCAGCACGUAAUGGUGGGAACUCAUAUGAGACUGCCGGGGUCAACUCGGAGGAAGGUGGGGAUGAGGUCAAAUCAUCAUGCCCCUUAUGUCUUGGGCUUCACGCAUGCUACAAUGGCCGGUACAAAGGGCUGCAAUACCGCGAGGUGAGCGAAUCCCAAAAGCCGGUCUCAGUUCGGA
rnacentral:rRNA from 1 species